rnacentral:tRNA from 1 species
UGCAAGGCAGUAUGUGAUGUACAAUGGAUUUUGGAUCUAUGAGAAUAAGAAAAGGUCUUAUCUUUGCAC